UACCAGCUCUCCGAGUGGUAGGGAUGAUUAUUGGGCUUAAAGCGUCCGUAGCCGGCUUAGCAAGUCUCCUGUUAAAUUCAGCGACCUAAUCGUUGAGCCGCGGGAGAUACUACUAGGCUAGGAGGCGGGAGAGGUCAACGGUACUUCCGGGGUAGGGGUGAAAUCCUAUAAUCCCGGGAGGACCACCAGUGGCGAAGGCUGUUGACUAGAACGCGCUCGACGGUGAGGGACGAAAGCUGGGGGAGCGAACCGGAUUAGAUACCCGGGUAGUCCCAGCUGUAAACGAUGCGAGCUAGGUGUUGGGGUGGCUACGUGCCACUUCAGUGCCGCAGGGAAGCCAUUAAGCUCGCCGCCUGGGGAGUACGGCCGCAAGGCUAGAAACUUAAAGGAAUUGGCGGGGGAGCGACCACAAGGCGUGAAGCUUGCGGUUC
rnacentral:rRNA from 1 species